rnacentral:misc_RNA from 1 species
UCGUGGGGCUCCGGCCCCGUCGAGAUAACACCCUUGCCUUUAUGAGUACCUUGGUUCCCUCCCCCGACCUCCGGGGAGCGGGAGGGGCCUCGUCUGUUUCCCCGCGAGGGGACCGCAAAACACGCUGUAAUCACCUGUAACCGUCUGAUAAAACAAACAAAAAGUCA